AAACCCAGCUCGCUAACCGGCGCGGGCAGAGUACAGCUCCCAGGCUCCCGAAGCUUCCCACAUCUGGAGGAUGACGACCCUCCCCUGACCACAUCUGGAGGGCGUCCAGCUGCGAGCCAGCGGGGCACAGCUCUCUUCUCCUGGCCUGGAUCCCCACCCCCCCAACCCAGGAAGACUGAGAAUCCCAUCAUCGCGUGCACAUCUCAUCCCAGGAGGGAGAGAGGAGCUGCCGAGUAGAAAGCAGACUGGCUGCAGGGACAGAAGACACCAAGGGCACCCUCCCCCACAGCUGCGCCUGGACCUCCUGCGAGAAGAGGAAGCCUUAGGGGUCUUUAUUGUACCCUCAAGACCCCAGAGAGAAACAGAAGUGCUGAGGGGUCGCAGGCAGGUCUCUUACCCUCUCUGGGCCUCGAAUAUUUAUCCAUAGGAGGCUGAAGGUAACUGCCUUCGCAACUCAUUCAUGAGGGUCAAUGGGACGACAGUGGCAAGAGGGGUUGGCACACUGCCCAGACUGUUCCAAAGCCAGGGCUGGGGCUGCCAAAAAGGCCACCUGUGCUUCACCAUGCUCCAUCCUCCCUCUCUUCCACCUCCCCAGGCUGGGCUCCACUUGUCCAGCUCUCUGACUUCCUGGCAAGGUUGAGUAGGCUCCAGCUAGGAAGGGGCCAGCUGACCUUGUUGGCCGGAGCACUAAUCCCCUCCAGAUGGGCUGGUGGCUUGCACUGAGGGCCUGGCUGCCCAGACAGAGCUGACUCUGGUCCCAGUGACCAUGUGUGGCUAUGUGUGACCGUGUGAAGGGAGCAAUUCCAUCCAGUCUCCCGGUUCCUUCCUGCUUCACUCCUCCCCACUGCUGACAUCCCCCACAAGCAGUGGCCCCAUGAAGGCCUUCUUGUCUCUAGUAGCCUCUUUUGGCUCUCUGUGUUGCUUAGCUGGAGGGCUGAGGAUGCCUGGCACAGCCGAUUCCCAAAGGCCUCAGAGGGACAGCUCCUCCCCCUGCUUCCCCCACCCCGUCAGCCCCAUCACUCUGCACCUGCCCUUCCCAAAGCAUGUGUCCCAGUCCCCAUCCCUCAACCCAAGGAAGAUGUAUGUGUCAAGGACAGGACUCAGGAGCAUUUCCCAACAUUUAGGGGAAAGGAUGAGGUCACAGGAAGGCUUUCUCUGCAGCAAGAAGGACUCAGAUAGAUUUGGGGAAGGACUUCCAACCCAACAGAUGUUCCAAACGAAAGAGAACUCUUUCUUUGGACCAGCUUGUAUGAAAGCAGACAAAUGGACAACAUGACCUCCUGCAAGGAGGCCCUGCUUCCAUCCUUUCGAGGCUGGGGCUAGAUGGAUACCCCAAAAGAAAUGUCUUAGUCGUGACAAUAGCAGCUCCCACAAUGCACCAGGGCAUAUGCAAAGUCACCAUUCUGUGAAAUAUAAAAGCUCAUAUAAAGCA
rnacentral:lncRNA from 1 species